CCCAAUGUGGCAUAGUGGUUUGAGCAUUAGACUAUGACUCUGGAGACCAGGUUUGAAUUCCUGCUUAGCCA